ensembl:lncRNA
CUGUAAAGCAACAGUGGCCAAGCCCGGAGACGGGCCAGAGUGUGAGGUCAGGGCACGGGAGCAGGAAGAAGAGGAAAAGGAAAAGACAGAGACGGAGGGGGCAGAAGGGGAGGCAGAGCAGGGACAAAGGCCUGGCAGCUCUCAGCGGUAAUGACGUGGGGGGCAGCAAAUUCUCACCUCUCUGAUUGGCCAAAUAGCCUUAGGAGCACUGGGCCCCAGGUACAGGAUGCUCCACUGAGAAAGCGAAUAUCAGGGCAUCUGGGGAGCCAGGUGAGUGGGACACUGGGGAAAGCUUCACAAUGGACACGUUCGCGGCUGCAGCGAUUCUGAGGAUUUACCCGGAGGAGAAUACAGAUUCUCCUGAGUGGAUCCCUCUCCAGUGUCCUGUCGCUGUGGCCGGGAAGCUGUUAGAUCACUCAACAACUGGAACGUUACUUCUGAAAAGCCAAUGGGUCACAGGAGCAGAGCUGACCCAUGCUGCGCCGGGUCAGAGGCGCACGCUUUAGACGCCCCCAUGUCCGGGUUUCAUCGAAUCCUC